GACGAACGCUGGCGGCGUGCUUAACACAUGCAAGUCGAACGGUAAGGCCCUUCGGGGUACACGAGUGGCGAACGGGUGAGUAACACGUGGGUGAUCUGCCCUGCACUUCGGGAUAAGCCUGGGAAACUGGGUCUAAUACCGGAUAGGACCCUGGGAUGCAUGUCCUGGGGUGGAAAGCUUUUGCGGUGGGGGAUGGGCCCGCGGCCUAUCAGCUUGUUGGUGGGGUGAUGGCCUACCAAGGCGACGACGGGUAGCCGGCCUGAGAGGGUAACCGGCCACACUGGGACUGAGAUACGGCCCAGACUCCUACGGGAGGCAGCAGUGGGGAAUAUUGCACAAUGGGCGCAAGCCUGAUGCAGCGACGCCGCGUGAGGGAUGACGGCCUUCGGGUUGUAAACCUCUUUCAGCACCGACGAAGCGCAAGUGACGGUAGGUGCAGAAGAAGGACCGGCCAACUACGUGCCAGCAGCCGCGGUAA
rnacentral:rRNA from 1 species